rnacentral:lncRNA from 1 species
CUGGAGGAUGGACCCAAGGAAGAGGCCCCCACAGGAAGUGGGGGUGGCGCCGUUUGGGCAGGGAACUGUGGUGUCCCAGCACCUGGCCUUGAGAAGGGGGCGUUCCAGACACACAUCGUCAGGUGCGGCAGUCCCCAAGAAACCUUUCCUUGUGUUGACCCAAUUCAGCAGCUUCGAGUCCGCUCUGCGAACUUUAGCAGGGUCCUGCCCAAGCGACUCUGCUCCAAGAGCAGGAACAAGACCCCAAUCUCCGACUGCCGGUCCAGAGCUCCAGUUCGACAAUGGGGUGUGUGCACUUUGCAGCCAAUGCUGAGGAAGCCGAGGUUCAGAAGAGUUUGGUAGCUUGCCCAAGGUCACCCAGCAAGGAGGCCAGCAUCAGGACUGUAGCCUUUGGACUGUCCCCAACUGCCUGGACCCUGGCAGUUCUGCAGCCUGGCCAACAAAGCUGAAGCCUGCUGAGAAGUCGGGAUAACCCCCGGGCCAGAGGCUGUGUGCAGCCUGUGAGGGACACACAGCAUCUGGACUCCAGGUGCCCUGGGGUCACUGCUCCCAGAACAACUCCUGGGCAGGAGCCGGUCCUUGAUUGGCCUCUACAGUUGAAGCAUCCGUGGGUGUCCCUGCCGAGAGGACAAGGACACUGAGGGCAGUUGGGGCCAAAACAGCCCUUAUAAGCAGCCUCAGGCUCUCCCUGAGGGAUUGGCUCCCUUCCUGUCCCUCGGGGGUUCGAGAUCACAGACCCAGCUGAGGCCUGUGGGGAGGUAGCACAAGGCUUUCAGUUCUUAAUACUUAGACUUGGGGAAAAUUCACCUGCAAAACCACAAGCAGGAGAACAGUGCAAAUGGGGGGGUUCAGCAAAAUUUUGCU